CCGCCCCUCCGGUACCGCAACGUGUUCGUCCUCGGCUCCCGCGCCGUGGGUAAAGCCUCCCUGGCCCACCAGUUCGUGGAGUGCUACGAGCCCACGGUGGAGAGCACUGGGAAGUGGGGACAGAUGAAGGGAAGAAGUUGGCGGAGUCGUGGGGGGCCUUUUUCCUUGAGUCCUCAGCCAAGGAGAGCCAGGUGGGGUGGAUGGACCAGGUGACCCAGUGGGAUCUUCACGAAGAUCAUCGAGGAGAUCGACCGGGUGGACGAUUCCUACGGCAGAUCCACUGGCUGCUGCCUCAUGUGACCCCCCCAGAAUGGGGCAAGACCCCCUGGAUGGGACAGGACCCCCCCAGGACCUUCUCCCAGACCACGGC